CAGUAGCCGCGGUAAUACGUAGGUCCCAAACGUUGUUCAAAAUCACUGGGCGUAAAGGGAGCGUAGGCGGCGUGGUAAGUCAGAUGUGAAAUCCCGGGGCUCAACCCCGGAACUGCAUCCGAUACUGCCAUGCUUGAGGGUUGGAGAGGUAGCUGGAAUUCUCGGUGUAGCAGUGAAAUGCGUGGAUAUCGAGAGGAACACUCGUGGCGAAGGCGAGCUACUGGACAACAUCUGACGCUGAGGCUCGAAGGCUAGGGUAGCAAAAGGGAUUAGAUACCCCGGUAGUCCCUGUCUCUUAUAC
rnacentral:rRNA from 1 species